rnacentral:rRNA from 1 species
UAUGUAGGGUGCAAGCGUUGUCCGGAAUUAUUGAGCGUAAAGAGCUCGUAGGCGGUCUGUUGCGUCCGCUGUGAAAACUCGGGGCUUAACCCCGAGCCUGCAGUGGAUACGGGCAGACUAGAGGUAGGUAGGGGAGAAUGGAAUUCCCGGUGUAGCGGUGAAAUGCGCAGAUAUCGGGAGGAACACCGGUGGCGAAGGCGGUUCUCUGGGCCUUACCUGACGCUGAGGAGCGAAAGCGUGGGGAGCGAACAGG